rnacentral:rRNA from 1 species
GCGGCACGCCUAACACAUGCAAGUCGAACGAAGUAGCAAUACUUAGUGGCAGACGGGUGAGUAACAUGUGGGUAUCUUCCCUAUGGCCUGGAAUAACACGAGGAAACUUGUGCUAAUACUGGAUAAGUCUUUACGGAGAAAGCUUUAUGCACCAUUGGAUGAGCCCGCACUUGAUUAGUUUGUUGGUAGGGUAAUGGCCUACCAAGACUUUGAUCAAUAGCUGAUUUGAGAGGAUGAUCAGCCACAUUGGGACUGAGACACGGCCCAAACUCCUACGGGAGGCAGCAGUGGGGAAUCUUGCACAAUGGAGGAAACUCUGAUGCAGCGAUGCCGCGUGAGUGAAGAAGGCCUUUGGGUUGUAAAGCUCUUUCGUCGGGGAAGAAAAUGACUGUACCCGAAUAAGAAGGUCCGGCUAACUUCGUGCCAGCAGCCGCGGUAAUACGAAGGGACCUAGCGUAGUUCGGAAUUACUGGGCUUAAAGAGUUCGUAGGUGGUUGAAAAAGUUGGUGGUGAAAUCCCAGAGCUUAACUCUGGAACUGCCAUCAAAACUUUUCAGCUAGAGUUUGAUAGAGGAAAGCAGAAUUUCUAGUGUAGAGGUGAAAUUCGUAGAUAUUAGAAAGAAUACCAAUUGCGAAGGCAGCUUUCUGGAUCAUUACUGACACUGAGGAACGAAAGCAUGGGUAGCGAAGAGGAUUAGAUACCCUCGUAGUCCAUGCCGUAAACGAUGUGUGUUAGACGUUGGAAAUUUAUUUUCAGUGUCGCAGCGAAAGCGAUAAACACACCGCCUGGGGAG